rnacentral:rRNA from 1 species
CCUACGGGUGGCUGCAGUGAGGAAUAUUGCACAAUGGGGGAAACCCUGAUGCAGCGACGCCGCGUGAGUGAAGAAGUAAUUCGUUAUGUAAAGCUCUAUUAGCAGGGAAGAAAAUGACGGUACCUGAGUAAGAAGCCCCGGCUAACUACGUGCCAGCAGCCGCGGUCAUACGGAGGGGGCAAGCGUUAUCCGGAUUUACUGGGUGUAAAGGGAGCGUAGAUGGCAGUGCAAGUUCGGAGUGAAAGGCGGGGGGUCAACCCCCGGACUGCUCUGGAAACUGGACGGCUGGAGUGCAGGAGAGGUAAGUGGAAUUCCUGGUGUAGCGGUGAAAUGCGUAGAUAUUAGGAGGAACACCAGUGGCGAAGGCGGCUUACUGGACUGUAACUGACGUUGAGGCACGAAAGCGUGGGGAGCAAACAGGAUUAGAUACCCGAGUAGUC